UGCGCCCUCAGCCGCCGACCCCGGGUCCACAGAGCGGACAAACUGUCCGCGCCUUGUCUUGUCGCUGUGCAGGUUGAAGCCAUAGCCGUGGUCCCCCUUCACCACGUGACACAGUCGGGGGAAAAAGAGAUCUGUGGUCGACUCCGGCGUACCUUAGACUGGUAACAAAGUGUCCUGGUGUGGCUGCGCUAUAAGUUAAUCAGGAGAAAGUGGCUGCCAGGAUAAGCCAGUGGGCUAAGUGGAUCUGCCUGAGAGACAUCAAGACUGACCCCGGGUCUAAUGACCAGUGACGAGUUGACACAUUGUGUGACUCACCUGCCUGACUGACCCCGCCCUCCGACUACUAGAAUCCCCUUUCGCCGGCUCUACUUUGGCUGGAGGAAAAGGGACUGUGCAGUGUUUUGUGUCCAUGAUAUGUAAGUAUUAUCUCUGCUAGAGAAGAAUUUCAAGCCACGACAUUGUGAUUAUUGACUUGGACAUUAUCUUAACCUCUCUUUCUUCUGAUAAAAACUAUGCAGACAGCCCAUAAGAGCCCUCUGAAUGUGUUGACCUUUGACAGUGCUCCCCUGCUGCUAAUGAGAGAGCACAAUGCAGAGUCUUGUGUGGUGAUCGCGACCCUUACCUCUGGGUCAGACGCUUUACUCGAUGUCACUGAGGAUCGCUUCAUCUUGCCUUGUGUGAUCACGGGGGAGUCGGCACCAGCAGGGGGAAUUGACUGCGUGUGGUUGGGUUUGGGUGAAA